AAUGUUUAAACCAAGUCAAAGCUGGUACUUCAGUUGUUCCUCCCUCAUGGAGCACCAAAGAGUACUGGGAAGACCAAGGAGAGCCACACCUUAUGCAAAUUAUAGGGGCAGAACUACAAAAAUUGAAUGUAUUGAAAUUGGAGACUUGGCAAUGGCUUCUACUCAUCACGAUGCCAAGUAGAGGAAAGUAUCUGAAUUGGAAUUGGCAGCUUUCUCACUAUACACCUCAGGGAUGCUGGAUCACUGAACUCAAAAUGUCUGUACUAAUCAACUAGCCCUUCAGUAUGACAUCUCUGCUGUACAAUAUAUUUCAGAUAAGAGUCUCACCUAUUGCCCAGACUGGAGUGUAGUGUUGCAAUCAUAGCUCACUGUUAUCUUGAACUCCUAGGAUCAAGCCAUCUUCUUGCCUCAGUCUCCCAAGCAGCUAGGACUACAGG
rnacentral:lncRNA from 10 species